GUGAACUUCACUUUGUGGCCCCAUAUCUUAAGGUUGGGUCUGCAUCUCUUGGUCCCAGAGCGCAGUCUGUUCAGUGCCUUCCAAGUCACUCAGUCUUCUGUGUGCCCAGAAGGGAGUCUCUUAUUCAGUAUCAGCCAUGGCUUGAGAUUCCGGGUUUUAGCCUGCCACUUUUGGACUCUCGCUUGCUGAGGUGUUCCUGUGCUCCCUAGAACUUCCUCAACUCCCUUGGAUUUUCCUCUCCUGGAAACGGCAUCAACAGAAGCCUAGAUACGUGGAACCCAACUGUGACUCGGAACCAAGGCAGUCUGCGCAUGCCCGGGGAAGCACGCGCAGCCCUGCCCAAGAAGACCGUCCAGGUGGUUGCAAUGAAAGCUCUGGAUGGGAAGCAGCCGGUAAAGAAGGCGCUGCCACCGCCGCGUUCUCUUCGGAGGUGCCUCCUCCCUCCCCCUCUUCCGGAGAGAAUGGUUUCGCCCUCGGGAAAGCCGGCCUGGCUGCUCCGAACCCGAAGGCGAGGGUGAGAGCUUCCACAUGGAACUGGGGGGAGGGGGGCUUCCUUGGCGGCGAUUGGCCGAAGGGGGAAGAGCCUCGCGUCGGGAUUGGCUGCUCUCAGCGGAGGGGGAACGAGGCCGGGGCUGCGUUCGGCGCGGCCGCCAGUGAGUCGAGCGGCGGCGUCGAGAGCGGAGGUGGGCGCUGGUUUGUCCGCUCGAGAGCCCAUGGCGUGUGGCUGAGGAGGAGGAGGAGGAGCAGCCCGGCGCGAAAGAGGAGCAGCAGCCGCCUCCUUCUGCUGCCGCCGCCGCCGCGAUGGGGACGGUGCUGUCGCUUUCCCCCAGCGCCCCUGGGAAGGGCGGCGUUGGUAGCGGCGGGUCUUGCCGGAGAAGGCGGGCCCCUUUGCGGUCGCACGGGCAAAAGGCGAGAAGCCCACUACAAGCGGCCCU
rnacentral:lncRNA from 11 species